UGUGUUUACUCAAAACUUAAUUAUUUUUAGGAGAGAUUUGAGAUUAAUUUAGACGAGCAUUACGUGAAAGAUAGCUGUGAGGAUAUUCUGAAAAAUAGAAGUCGACAAUGGCGCUACAAGUUAAAACAAUUAUUGAAAGUGCACGCUCCGAGGAAGAAGCUCGUAAAAUUGAAGUGUCAGAGUUGAUCCCUGAAAAUUGGAACAGGCUUUGUGACGCGUAGAUCAAUCCAGAGCAUAAGAAACGAUGCGACAUAAAUAAGGUGAAUCGAACUAAGCUUAAAUCUAAUCAUUUAAUGGGGUCAAAGGCUUUUGUAGCUGCUUGUGCUGAAAUGGGUGAAGCAAACCCUGAAAGAGUGGAGCCUGACAGAAUCGAGUUUUAUAAGCAUACUUAUUACUCUUAAGGAAAAAGAAUGGUCAUCUCAAGAGACUGAGACUAACUAUAACAACAUGAAAGAUUUGAAAGAUCUAUAUAGUUCAGGAGAGUCUUCUAUGACUAUUGAUGAAAUCCUGGAUACUGUACUUGGUACAAAAUCGGGAUACAUAAAAGGUCUCGGUUAUGGUCCAAAAUCUAAUACUACAAUAGCUACACAAAGGAGAACUGCAGAGCUGGAAGACUCUCAAAAAGGCAAAAGAGGAAGCUGAUACAAUCCAAUAUAAUUUAAAGAAACGACUAAAUACAGCUGAAACUAUUGUUGAGUAUCAGCAGUCUCAAAUGCAAGACCAACAAUCUCAGAUACAAGCAUUAAAUUCUCAAAUGGACAUUGUAAUGGCAUGCCAACAGGAAAUGUUUAAGAAAAUGCAAUUUCUUGGUCGCUCAUCGCCAUCAAGUGGACAUUGAGCUCAUCAGAAUGCCUACUUAAGUAUAUUUCUAUUUUUAUUUUGCCAACUUAAGUUUCAUGUCUGACAAGUUGUAGUUUAAAUAAAUUAUAUUUUGUUUAUAUUACAUAAUAUAUAAGUUGAUAGCUUCCUCCUAAAAAUUAGUAUUGAACAUGCAUAUUGCCUUAACGUCAGUUGCUUCCUAAGCUUAUUAGACAGGUUGUAGAAAAAAUUAUCAGACAUUAUAAAUGGGGAACAUUAAAUUUCAGUAGCUAAGUAGAUAUAAAGAUGAGAUGUCCAUCUUAUUACAAAAAAAUUGUGGAUUUUAAGACAUGGGAAAUAGGAUAUCAACAUUGUAGAGCUUCAAUUGCUAUCCUUGCUAAUGUCUUACUCCAUGUUUCUGAUUUUAAAAUGAUAAUGUUAUAUUGUUCGUGUUGCUUUGCUGAGUACUUUCUAUUUUGUAUGUCGUGCUAAGAGUGAAAUAUGAUAUGAACGUGAUAACUAAGAGCUACCUUUUACUGUUAUGCAACAUGUAAAAAAUUAUAUUACAGUAAACCUAUUGACAGAAUUAGUGAAGUCUUGUGUCUCCAAACUAAGUGAAACAUAUUUGAGUGAACAACUUCAUCUUUUUCCUUUAUCUAACAUGCAUAUGACUUGUGUGAAACUGCACACCAGGUUUGCAAUUCACAUCCAUCUUUCUACCUGAUUUAAUUUCUUAGAUAAUUGCAAUCUUUGGUAACGCUUUCCCUCGGUAUUAUCCAACACAUAGUUGUUAUGAUAUUUACCGAGUAUUUCACUUAACUUGCUCCCUAUCGUCCAUAGCUGAGGAAAUCAUAGCAUGCUCUGUUAACUGAGUUAAUUUUUUCUUGGGGAUGAGCUUGUCAUUCAUAGGAGUAAUCUGGAAAUAAAAACUUUGAAUAGGACAAAAUGUCAUAGUUGGUGGUCCUCAAAGAUAUCAAUAUGUAUGAGAUAUUAAAUUCACUGAUGUGGCUUUGUUUAGUGGCUUCUUUUUUUAAAAAAGGAACUUCAAAAUUUAACAAUUAUAACAAUACCAAACAUAAAUCCUCAAAGAUGCUAAAUCCAUGAAUAGCAGAUGCUAUAAUGCCUUGGAUGCCUUUGUAUUAUGUAUAAUUUGUUUUGUAGAUCUUAUAAAUCUGAGAAUUACUACAUAUGGAAGACAUAAACUGUAUUACAUAUUCUACUUUUUGACCUUAGUAUGAAUAUAUUAAGUCCAAUCUUAAUUUUCUUUCCUCUCUUUUUACACAGGUAUAACAGGGGAAAUGUCACCAUAGUAUUGGUACUUUGGAAGAAAUUGCUUCUUAUUUGUCAUAAUUGGGAGUAAUAUUUAGUAGAUUUCAGUUAGUUUAUCUUGUUAUUGGACACAUUCUAUUUCCCCUUUAGGAACUUCUAAUGUUUAGUUCUUUUAAAUUAUAUGAUCAUGGAUGAAUACUACCUUGGUAUGAUUUUAGUUCUUUUCAAUUGUAUGAUCAUGGAUGAAUUUUAUUGUUAUCUAACAUGUUUUAUUAUUUAAUUUUCAA